UGACUUCGUGUUCAGCCUGAAGGCUGCUGGAAUCAGCUGGAAACUGUCCGACUUGACAGUGACUUUUUGUCACCGUCCCCGGCUGCUGCCGCCUGCUCUCGUUUACUUUACAGGCGAGGAGCAGUUCAUCUCCAAUGAGCCUUUUAUGUAAUGUUUUCUCCCUGCACA